GCGCCGGUAGUUUAGUGGUUUAACCUUUUCCACGUAGGCAAAAGGUUAGCACAAAUGAUACGAGCUUGCCAAGCUUGAGACCCGGGUUCGAUUCCCGGUCGGCGCA
rnacentral:tRNA from 1 species